rnacentral:rRNA from 1 species
AGAACGAACGCUGGCGGCAUGCCUAAUACAUGCAAGUCGAACGAACACUUCGGUGUUAGUGGCGCACGGGUGCGUAACGCGUGGGAAUCUGCCCUUGGGUUCGGAAUAACAGUUGGAAACGACUGCUAAUACCGGAUGAUAUCGAAAGAUCAAAGAUUUAUCGCCCAGGGAUGAGCCCGCGUAGGAUUAGCUAGUUGGUGAGGUAAAGGCUCACCAAGGCGACGAUCCUUAGCUGGUCUGAGAGGAUGAUCAGCCACACUGGGACUGAGACACGGCCCAGACUCCUACGGGAGGCAGCAGUAGGGAAUAUUGGACAAUGGGCGCAAGCCUGAUCCAGCAAUGCCGCGUGAGUGAUGAAGGCCGUUAGGGUUGUAAAGUCUCUUUACCCGAGAUGAUAAUGACAGUAAUCGGAAGAAAUAACGCCCGGCUAACCUCCGUGCCAGCAGCCGC